GUGCGUGAAUCGAUCCAGGAGAAGGAGCAAGAGCUCCAAACCCUAGCUCAUCCAAAUUCAUCAAAUUGGAGGGCCAAACGACGCUUAAAUUCACAACCGAACGCGGAUUAACGAUUACCAAGUCAAGGGGAUCGUAAGUUUGACAACUAACGGGCUAGGUGGAAGCUUGAUAAGUGAGCGGGUCAAACGAAUCAAGUGUGAAGUAAAAGCGUGUUCGGAUGCAAGGUAAGUAAAACUUACACCUACUUGUAGUAUACGUACUUAUUUUAUAUGCGAUAAAUACGACAAGGGAUUUGGUUUGAAUUAUGGGUUCCGACACGAAACGAAUUGGGUCGGAACGAAUAGAAACGUUUUUAAACCAUGAUAAAUGGUGAAAAAGGCAAAAUGGUAAAUUAGUCAUGAAAUGGUUAAGAGUUUAAGAGUUUUUCUUAAGGUUACUUUAUAGCGUAACUAGUAAUGGGAAAUUGGGUAAUAAUGAAAAUUUAGUCAAGUAUCGACUAAAGUAAAUUAAAGUUCAAAAGGGGCACCCGUGGCGUAAGCCGAACGGGUAAAAAUAUAAGAAAAGAAUUUAAGAGAAAAAGGGGUCUAGUGGCAAAAAUCCGAAAUGGGUCGGACGAACAAGUUAUUAAUUAAUAACCAUGUUUUGCUACUUAUGAAAAUGCUUGGUCUUAUAGGCCAAACGGGUCAAAUGGCGUGAUAACACCAUUUGACAAUAUCGAUUAAUAUGUUUGUCAAGUCUUGUGUUAACAGGAGCGAUUAACGAUUCAGUUACUUGCGUCCAUAGAAUAUGUGAUAAUAGAAGCGAGGUAUGAAUCGGAUCGAUUGUUGACCCGAGCCAGGUGAACGUCAAGGGUGCACGGAUGAAGAUCAAGCGUCGAGCAAGAACCGAACACGAUUACGAAAUAAGCUUCCGCACUAUGUAUUGUUAUUAUGUUAAACGACGAAUGUACACAUGAUAUGUUAUAGACUUUUUAAAUCUUAAAAAGUUUUAAUAAACUCGUAAUUUCCAAUGCAUAUGUAAUCUUAAUUACAUGAUUGUUUUUCGUAAAUAAUAUGUU